UACGUAGGGGGCAAGCGUUAUCCGGAUUUACUGGGUGUAAAGGGAGCGUAGGUGGCAUGGUAAGCCAGAAGUGAAAACCCGGGGCUCAACCCCGCGGAUUGCUUUUGGAACUAUCAGGCUGGAGUGCUGGAGGGGUAAGCGGAAUUCCUAGUGUAGCGGUGAAAUGCGUAGGUAUUAGGAGGAACACCGGUGGCGAAGGCGGCUUACUGGACAGAAACUGACACUGAGGCUCGAAAGCGUGGGGAGCAAACAGG
rnacentral:rRNA from 1 species